ACGAACGCUGGCGGCGUGCUUAACACAUGCAAGUCGAACGGAGUGUUUCAAAAAGCUUGCUUUUUGCAACACUCAGUGGCGCACGGGUGAGUAACACGUGGGCAACCUGCCCGGAAGACUGGGAUAACACCUCGAAAGGGGUGCUAAUACCGGAUACCUUCACGGAGUCGCAUGACUUUGUGCAGAAAGAAAUUCGCUUUCCGGAUGGGCCCGCGUCCCAUUAGCUAGUUGGCGAGGUAACGGCUCACCAAGGCGACGAUGGGUAGCUG
rnacentral:rRNA from 1 species